AGCAGGAUCCGCCUCUGGCGCUCGGCAGCCAACUGGAAGAUUAUACUGACUCAUGGUUGGGUCUACGAUGUCGCCGGGACAGGAAACAGGAUGAGAUAUUUGAAAACGAAGAGGAGAAAUCCUUCUUGAUGCUCUCUUGAAUUACCUAUGGAACAAGCUUCUACAAGGAUAAAAAGCCCAAAGAUAAAGCAGCACGAGGGGAGCCAGAGCUAUCAGCGGCAAAGACAGAAACAGAAGCUUACCUCCUUCUCUGUGUCGAAGAUCUCACCUUCCUGGUGUCGGGGCUUACGCAGCUUCUUCUUCUUGAAGUAAGCAUCAGUGAGAUGUUUGGGGAUCUUCACACCACUGAUGUCAAUUUUGGUAGAAGUGGCAAUGACAAAUUUCUGGUGUGUCCUACGCAGAGGAACUCGAUUGAGGGAC